GAUGAAGAACGCAGCGAAAUGCGAUAAGUAAUGUGAAUUGCAGAAUUCCGUGAAUCAUUAAAUCUUUGAACGCACAUUGCGCUCUUUGGUAUUCCGAAGAGCAUAUCUGUUUGAGAAUCAGUUUAACUCUCAAUCCUUUAUUGAUGUUUUUUAUUAAACUGAUUUGAAGAGUUGGAUUUGGCUUUUUUUAUUGAACUUUUUAAGUUUGAUUAAGCUUAAACUGAUUUCGGUUAUAGUUGCUUAAUUUAAUCAAUUGUUAACCCCGAAAGCAUGACCAAUGAACGCAAGUUCUAAUUGAUUGCUGAUAACGGGUCAAUAAUUGUGAGAAGUAAACUUUUAAUUGAUUAAAAUUUCACACGAAGAAAUGUAAAAACUUUCUUUAAGACUUGAUCUCAAAUCAGAUAAGACUACCCGCUGAACUUAAGCAUAUCAAUAAGCGGAGGA
rnacentral:misc_RNA from 1 species